GUCGACUGGAAUUCUUCUUCGGAAGAUAGUACGGUGGCGGACGGGUGAGUAACGCGUAAAGAAUUUGCCCUUCAGACUGGGACAACUAAUCGAAAGGUUAGCUAAUACCGGAUAUUAUGAGACCUUGGCAUCAAGGACUUAUGAAAGCUAUAUGCGCUGGAGGAGAACUUUGCGUUCCAUUAGCUAGUUGGUAGGGUAAUGGCCUACCAAGGCGACGAUGGAUAGCCGGCCUGAGAGGGUGAACGGCCACAAGGGGACUGAGACACGGCCCUUACUCCUACGGGAGGCAGCAGUGGGGAAUAUUGGACAAUGGACCAAAAGUCUGAUCCAGCAAUUCUGUGUGCACGAUGAA
rnacentral:rRNA from 1 species